UCUUUUCUCGUUGGCCAACUCUUAUCUUCUUCUCUCUUUUCCAUCCAGAAUUCACCACCACAAAGUCUUUCUUCUCCACUUCAAUCUGCAAAUACACAUGAGAUCAAAAUACACAUCACUCCUAUACGCUCCUCCUCUCCUCCUAUCCGGAUGGCUCCUUCUCCUCCCUGAUGCCUACUUCGUGAAUCUUCCUCUGUGCUACUCCUCCGGCCGCCUUCUCCGUGAAGCCUCGUCCUCUGGUUUGGUGGCGAAGAUGAAGGCGUGAAAGGAGACGAUGUCAUGAAGAAGGAAGAAGAAGAUGCAGCGGAGGUGGCGCGGAGAUGACAGAGGAAGAAGACGAGGCGGCGGAGAUGGUGGUACUGACGAACCAGACACGGAGGCAGAAGUAGAUGCGGUUCAGAGAAAUGUGUUUUGAGCCUGAGGCAUGAAGCACGAGGGGGCCAAGCACGAAGACGCGGAAGCAAUACGUAGCAGAUGAGGUGGUGCUUGAGGAAGGCGGCGGAUUAGGUUUAGGAUUGGUUAAUUAGGUUUUGGUUUAAUGUGUGUUUAUAGUGUUUGGUUUAAUUUGUUCUGGUUUAUUUUUUUUUUUUACUUUAUGGUUUAGUUUUGUAAACUGAUUUUAAUUAAUAAAUAAAUUUUCUUUCUAAUUAUAUGUAAUUUUUGAUUUAAUUUCUAAUUAUUUAAUUUGUAAUUAAUUAAUUUUAAUUAAAUAAUCAAAUUAAUAUUUAAUUUUAAUUAAUUAUAGAAUUAUAUCGAUGUCAUUAUAAUACAUCAUAGCACAAAUCAAGCGUUAUAGUUAAGUUAAUAAUAUCAUUCAAGUAUCGCUAUCAUAUCUUCACAUUUUGUAGCGUUUAAAAAACGCUAUCGUAGAUGGGGUAUCUAUGAUGGCUGCCGUAUACAUAUCAUUUAUGAAUUCGCUAUCAAACAUCUAAUAUAGCAUAUUUCUCGCGCUAACAAUGUACAUAUUUCUUGUAUUGUUUUAUUUAAGUAUUGCCCAAAGGUUAUUUAAAGUACAAGUUUAAGUUUCUAUUAGUCUGAAUAUAUAAAAGUCUCAAAGCACAAACGGCUAAACAUGUAUGAAUGCUUGAAGCUUCAUCAAAUGUGUUUGCAUCCGCUAACUAUAUGGUAAAAUUUAACGGCUUCAACUAUGGUGAGUGUUUCGAGCAAAUCUGGUCUAUACUAGGUGUAAUGGCUUUGGACUCCGCCAUACUAACUGAUAACGAACCUCAGCUAUUACAGUAGAUAGCUCUGAAUAUGAAAAGUCUCGUUAUGAGAGAUAAGAGUGAUCUAACAGGCUGAGCUUGAACCUUAUGAGGUUGACGAAGACGGAAAGUAUUAAGCCAUCAAUGCCUAAGACAGAGAAAGCAAAGGAAUUCGUAGAGAAAAUUAAGAAAUGUUCACAAUCGGAAUAGGCUGACAAGUCGAUUGUAGGAAGUCUCAUGAAUGAGUAACUACGAAAAAGUUUGACUGGUCUCAACCAAUCCAUAAUCAUGUUACACACAUGUCUAAUCUGGCAGAAAAGCUAACGACCUUGGUAAUGGAGGUUCAUGAGCAGUUCUUGGUCCAAUUAAUCAUGAAUUUUCUUCCUCUUGAAUUUAGCCCGAGGUGAAUUACAAAACCAUUAAGGAUAAAUGGAAUUUUAAGAAAUUAAAGGCUAUGCUAAUUCAAGAGGAGGAGAGGUUAAGGAAGAUGAAAUACCAGAUCCACUACAAAAAAAGUUCACAUUGAUAGCACAUUGUUAUAACACGUUUUACUAAACUGCUAUCGUAGAUGAGUUUGAAAUUUCGGUACUCUAUAAUAGCAUUAGAUAAAUGCUAUGAUAGAGUAAAUCCUAAAAUAGCACUUAAUUAAUGUUAUUUUAAAAAUUAAGUGAGCGGAAGAUAAAAUUAUUGAACCCACCAAUACUUAGCGGGAAAUUAUACUUAAGCGUCAAAGACAUUAUUUAGCGGCUUCAGUAAUCAUAUCAAAAGCAUAUAAUAGCAUUUUUCUAACGCUAAGAAAAACCAUUUUCAAACAUUAUAUUUCAAACACUAAAACUCUAAACUUAAACUAAAUACCAAUUCAUAAACUCUUCUUAUAUCUAAACCUAAUUUGUAAUUUCUAAAAUUCUUUAAUUUUAUAACUUUAACUUUAUAACUAAGUCUUAACAUUUAUAUUUAAUACUUUAUUUUAACAUUUAUAACCCCUAAAUUAUUUAAAUUCCAAACCCUAUAUCUAAACUCCAAACCCUAUUCUUCAAACCCCAAAUAUAUAUGUAAUGUGCCAUAAAUUAUAAAUUUACUCAGGAAAAAUAAUAUUUCCAAUUUAAACACCAAACUUAACACAUAAAUUACAAAUCUAGCUAAUUUUCAAAUUUUAUUCUCAAAUUUCAUCUAAAUCCCAAACCACAUACUCCAAACCUUACAUCAUAACACUAAAUUUAAUUAAUUAUAAACUCCAAAACAUAAAUUUUAUAUUCUAAAACAAAUCACUAACACUAUAUUUCAAACCCUAAACCAUAAAAUUAUACACAUAAAAAUGUAAGUAACCAUUAAACUUUAAACGAACCAUAUUCUCAAUAUAUAAUUAUUAAUAAAAAAAAAUUAAACAUAAAAAAUAAAGUUACUAACAACUGAUGUUAUUAACAACAAUAAAUGAAGAAAGUAAAUUAUUUUAUUGGUUAAUCAUAAAAACAUGGAGUUAUUUUGGCCAUUGAUUGAUUGGUUUAAUCCAAAGGCCCAAAAGCAUUCUUUUGUUAUCUCCGUACUCUCUUCUCAUUGGUUGAUCUGGCACAAGAAGGAUUAUCAUUUCUGACCACUGAUUUUUAAUCCAAUGGCUCAAAAACAUUCAUUUGUGAUUUCUUUCUCUUUUCUCGUUGGCCAACUCUUAUCUUCUUCUCUCUUUUCCAUCCAGAAUUCACCACCACAAAGUCUUUCUUCUCCACUUCAAUCUGCAAAUACACAUGAGAUCAAAAUACACAUCACUCCUAUACGCUCCUCCUCUCCUCCUAUCCGGAUGGCUCCUUCUCCUCCCUGAUGCCUACUUCGUGAAUCUUCCUCUGUGCUACUCCUCCGGCCGCCUUCUCCGUGAAGCCUCGUCCUCUGGUUUGGUGGCGAAGAUGAAGGCGUGAAAGGAGACGAUGUCAUGAAGAAGGAAGAAGAAGAUGCAGCGGAGGUGGCGCGGAGAUGACAGAGGAAGAAGACGAGGCGGCGGAGAUGGUGGUACUGACGAACCAGACACGGAGGCAGAAGUAGAUGCGGUUCAGAGAAAUGUGUUUUGAGCCUGAGGCAUGAAGCACGAGGGGGCCAAGCACGAAGACGCGGAAGCAAUACGUAGCAGAUGAGGUGGUGCUUGAGGAAGGCGGCGGAUUAGGUUUAGGAUUGGUUAAUUAGGUUUUGGUUUAAUGUGUGUUUAUAGUGUUUGGUUUAAUUUGUUCUGGUUUAUUUUUUUUUUUUACUUUAUGGUUUAGUUUUGUAAACUGAUUUUAAUUAAUAAAUAAAUUUUCUUUCUAA
rnacentral:lncRNA from 1 species